AAAAGAGUGUAGGUGGAUUUUGUGCGCGUAAGUCGUUUGGGAGCCAUGCAAACAAUUCGCAUAAAUAGUAUGGAAUAUCCAAGAGACGCAGUUUACAGCCACUUGGCACAAAGGCGAUAAAAAAC
ensembl:ncRNA F45G2.13 ncRNA